rnacentral:rRNA from 1 species
UAGGCGAAAAUGAUGCGAGUUAAGUGUGGGGGCAUCUACGAGAUGGGCCCUGUGCUGUAGGGUAGCCGUUAAACUCGCUGCCUGGGGAGUACGGUCGCAAGGCUGAAACUUAAAGGAUUGGCGGGGGAGCACCACAACGGGUGGAGCCUGCGGUUUAAUCGGACUCAACGCCGGAAAACUCAUCGGGAGCGACAGCAGUAUGAUUGCCCAGGUUUGACGACCUUGCUUGACAAGCUGAGAGGAGGUGCAUGGCGUAGUCGUGU